GACGAACGCUGGCGGCGUGCCUAAUACAUGCAAGUUGAGCGAUGAAGAUUGGUGCUUGCACCAAUUUGAAGAGCAGCGAACGGGUGAGUAACGCGUGGGGAAUCUGCCUUUGAGCGGGGGACAACAUUUGGAAACGAAUGCUAAUACCGCAUAACAACUUUAAACAUAAGUUUUAAGUUUGAAAGAUGCAAUUGCAUCACUUAAAGAUGAUCCCGCGUUGUAUUAGCUAGUUGGUGAGGUAAAGGCUCACCAAGGCGAUGAUACAUAGCCGACCUGAGAGGGUGAUCGGCCACAUUGGGACUGAGACACGGCCCAAACUCCUACGGGAGGCAGCAGUAGGGAAUCUUCGGCAAUGGACGAAAGUCUGACCGAGCAACGCCGCGUGAGUGAAGAAGGUUUUCGGAUCGUAAAACUCUGUUGGUAGAGAAGAACGUUGGUGAGAGUGGAAAGCUCAUCAAGUGACGGUAACUACCCAGAAAGGGACGGCUAACUACGUG
rnacentral:rRNA from 1 species